rnacentral:rRNA from 1 species
AUUGAACGCUGGCGGCAUGCUUUACACAUGCAAGUCGAACGGCAGCGCGGGGCAACCUGGCGGCGAGUGGCGAACGGGUGAGUAAUACAUCGGAACGUACCCAGAAGUGGGGGAUAACGUAGCGAAAGUUACGCUAAUACCGCAUACGUUCUACGGAAGAAAGUGGGGGAUCGCAAGACCUCAUGCUUUUGGAGCGGCCGAUGUCUGAUUAGCUAGUUGGUGAGGUAAAGGCUCACCAAGGCGACGAUCAGUAGCUGGUCUGAGAGGACGACCAGCCACACUGGGACUGAGACACGGCCCAGACUCCUACGGGAGGCAGCAGUGGGGAAUUUUGGACAAUGGGCGCAAGCCUGAUCCAGCAAUGCCGCGUGAGUGAAGAAGGCCUUCGGGUUGUAAAGCUCUUUUGUCAGGGAAGAAACGGCUGAGGUUAAUACCUUCGGCUAAUGACGGUACCUGAAGAAUAAGCACCGGCUAACUACGUGCCAGCAGCCGCCGCAG